UUUAUCCCUUUCUGAAGAUCGGUUGAUGAAAUUUUCUCCUUCAGUUUUUGUGAGCUCAGGCGAUUCCACUCGAAAUGGCGAUCCUCGAAGAAGACCAGUUGGCUUCAUUGACCACAGAUCGCAUCAUUCCAGCUUCUCGUCUUCUAGAAAACGAGAUUCGGAUCUUCAAGGAAGAGAUGCAAAGGACGAAUUUGGAGUGGGAUUUUUUCAAGGAAAAAAGUAAACGAGGACCAGGAGAAGAUUAAACUUAAUAAACAGCUACCUUAUUUGGUCGGGAAUAUAAUUCUGGAAAUGAACCCAGAAGAUGAAGCUGAAGAGAUGGUGCAAAUAUUGAUCUUGACUCGCAAAGCAAUUGAAAAUGUGUUGCGUUAAGCGCACCUACUCGCCAGGUGAGUUAUUAUUCUGCUUUUAUAGAUAACCUUAUAGCUAUCAGAGAAAUAGCAAUGAAACUCUAGUGAAUUCUAUUGCUCUAUUUCCCAAUGUAGUGGUGCUUUACUUCUUUAGGGAUCAGGUUAUGUAUGCCAUUUUGUACAUAUUCAAACAGGUAUGGAUAUUUUGCGGGUUCCUUUCUUCAGAGAUCCAACUUUUUUCUAUUUAAACAUGUGAUGGUCUGGUUACCUGGUUUUUAUGAUUUGCAUAAUGUUGUUAUGGUAUAGCACUAUCACUCAGUAUUAGACUAAGAUUAGUUGGUUACAGUUUAAAAUCUAACUUCUUUAUUGUGAAAAUGUCAUACUUGAUUCAAUUUAUGGCUCAUGCUUUUUUUAACUAGAUAAGAGUUCUGAUUCGUUCUAUUCAUUUAAGCUCUGGACCAUGUGAAAUCCCAGCAUGUUUUGUUUUGACUGCAGACAAUCUUUUUACCUGUUGUUGGGAUUGUUGAUUCCAACAAAUUAAAACCUGGUGAUUUAGUUGACAGUUACCUGAUCUUGGACACUCUACCAUCUGGGUACGAUUCUAGACAGGCAAUGGACGUUGAUGAAAAACAUUAGAGGGUUGGAGAAGCAGGCAAGUCUCUAGCUUUCUCUAGGCAUGCCUUAUAUGAACAAUGAACAUGCAUUUGUUUUGGUCACAUAAUUGAGCAUUGAUCUACCCAUUUAUCAUACAAUUCCACACAUCUUUUUAUGCAUAACUUUAAUUUUAGACCAUAAAAUUCAAUUUCAGUGAUU